rnacentral:lncRNA from 1 species
GUUUAUCCAGCCAACAUCCAUCUCACCUCUCACUUUAUUGGUUUAACUGAUUGCAUCAUCAUGUCUCACACCUCUUGCAGGGAGAUCAGGGUCCUCCAGGGUUUCCAGGCCUUCCAGGCUCAGAGGGUGCAGAAGGGCAUCCUGGUCAUAGGGGUCCAUCUGGUCCUCCUGGGCCCCCAGGUCCCCGCGGAGGAAGCUUCAGCAUGGACUUUGAGGACUCGGAAGGAUCCGGGCUGCAGAGCGGUUCUGGAGCUAUGCUCUCCAGAGGCCCACAGGGUCCUGCAGGAAUCCCUGGACUUCAAGGCCCCAAGGGUAACGAUGGUUUAGACGGCUCCUCAGGAAAGCCGGGGCUAAAGGGGGAGGCGGGGGCUACAGGACCACCAGGGUUUCCAGGACUGGACGGACUAAAAGGGGAAGAGGUCAGUAAACAGACGGAC